rnacentral:tRNA from 1 species
GACCCACGUCACGACGGUCGUGAGGCGGCCUGCAAAGCCGUCGAUUCCGGGUUCGACUCCCGGGUGGGUCUCCA